AAAAGAGAGACAGUGCUUUUGCAAUUGCACGGCUGAUGCAGUAAGGGAUGAAAAUCUAAACAAAACACGGUAAAUCAAAUAAAUCCCAAUCUAUGAUGCUUGCAAUUAAAUAAAUAAUUAAAUAAAUUUCAACGUGGGGAUAAGCUUUGAUUCAUUUUUUUUUAACAAGGCUAGUAAGCUGAGUGUGUAGCUUAUGAGAGGAAAAAAAGACUGAUCUAUUCUCUUGUUGGGAAAAAAAUAACGUUAUCCUACAUAAGUAGAACUAAAGUACUUAUAUGCUCAAAUGCAUUGGAAAAUUCACAUGAUCGAGUAAACUCUAUUUUUAAGAAAACAGACAGUAAUUUUAAGAAAACAAGAUAACAUAUUCAUUUGAAAAACAUCCUAAAUUUCCCAAAUGGAAAAAAUUCACCUAUACAAUAUAAAGUAAGAUAAAAGGACUUUCUUUUUCCUGCAGGCAAGCGUUUCUUAUGUCUCUGAGAAUAUGUGUGCAACUGAAUAUAUUUUUAUAUAUACAUAUUCACGUUAUCAGCAGAAGGAAAACCUCAUCAAGGCCUGGCCAGUUCACCCACAGACCUCAUUCGGGUUAGAUCUUCUGUUUGCCCGUUUAUUUUAAACCGAUAUCUGAAGGCAUUUGUUCUGUUGUCUCACGUUUCAGGGUCACCACCAAGUCGGGCAGGCCGCUGCCGAUUAGCGGUGAGCACACGCAGUUCCUCCGCGCCCCUCGGGCAAGAACUGCCGUCACCCGCCUGCCUGGCCGCCCUCAGACAGUUCCACCACACGGCCGCCCGCGGCCCGCCGCCCACCCACCGCCCGCGCUACCCGAACGGCAGCCGCUGCUCUCGGAUGGUCCCGAGACAGGCAUGGCUGUUACUUUCAGAGGCAUGCAGUGGAAAAGCUGUGAUCCUGCCGAGAUGAGUGGUUUCCUGUGAGUUUCAUGGGAGUUUUCCGCAUGGCUGAUGUGAUGCAGUUAAAGGUUUCUCAGGAGAAGAGUAGCCCUUCUGUCAUGAUGAUAGGUAAGUCAUAGCAACCCUCAGGUAAACUCCAAGGAUGAUCUCAGUCUUUCUGUGUCACAGAUUCAAAGGCUUAAUUAAAUUUGCAGAACAGCUAAGCGCUCAGAGCUGCGAAGCACAAAGGAAAACUGCAUAACGCCUGGUAAGUUGUAAUAACUGGAGAUAAUUGGCCUACCAAACUCUGUUCCUUUGUCACUCAGUCUUUCAUAGGUGAAGCUAAACUUAGUCCUGCCUCAGUCUUCAGAAUUAUCACAAAAAUAAACCAGUGCUUGUAAGGCUUUCCAGUAUAAUAAUUGGGACCAGCUGCAAAAGAACUGUGAAGAAAAAUAUUUUUUUGUCCAAAGAAUUUUGCUUGAACUAAAUGCAAUAAAUGAGGCCUAAAGCCUGUAUUGAA